CGGGGCGUAGCGCAGCUUGGUAGCGCGCCACAAUGGGGUUGUGGAGGUCGCAGGUUCGAAUCCUGUCGCCCCGACCA
rnacentral:tRNA from 4 species